UUACCGGCGGUCUCUAAUUCGCUUGGUGCAGGUCGGGAACUGAUUCGGCGAUUUGAUUGCCAGAUGGCUAAACACGAUUGGCUGUGAGGCAAAUUAUAAAAAGAAAGAGAAUUGGAUCCCGCCUUGCAUCAACUGAAUCGGAGACCGCGGUGAAG
rnacentral:pre_miRNA from 1 species